GUUUCAAUGUAUUUAUUUAUAUUUCUUUUAUUUGAUGUGUCCUUUCCUUUCCACCUUACAAGUAAAAGUUCCUAUGCAAAUGUAUUUUCUUUUCCUGUGUGAAUAUUCAAUAGCUAUGUGCAUUCUUAGACAUUCUUCAGUUGGGUGUAGUUCUUUUGUGUUUGAUUAGUUGGGUGUGUAUGUGUGUGUGAGUAUAUAAGUGUAUGGUCAGUGUGACUCCAGCCCACUCUAUCACAUUAUGAGAGCUCUAUAGACACCAAGACAAAUCUCCUGCUGCCUGCUGCCUGCUGCCUGCUGCCACACAUUUUGCUCAGCAGAGUAUUCAGACUCUGAUGCAGAGCAAUACGUAUUAGCAGAGCCGAGCCGUGUACUGCAGCAGUGCCAUUGUAUAGCUGUUAGCUGGGGCAAUUUUGCUCCACUGUCUGCUGGUGAGCUGUAAAACCAGAUACGGGGAACCUCGCUGCAAAACCAAAGUAUUACUGGGGAUUUCAGCCAGUUUGGGGGUCCUUCAACACCGCAUGUGCAUCCAUUUGAAGUAGAUCGGGACAGUCGCCUACUACUUGCUUGUGCCAAGACCUGACCUCGAGUACUACCACAAGGGCCAGACGAGGACUGGAUUAACCACUUGACAGUUCGGCUGCUCAACUGGAAACCAGAACUGUAUUGGGUUUGCAUUGCUAAAUACCCUGAAUACAUUUAUUGUCAUCGAGUCAAAGAUAGAGUGAAGUCAAGUUAAUUUGUGUCCAAGAACGAGAAAACUACUAUUGUAAUAAGAGUUGUUGUUGUUUUUUUGUUUUUUAUAAAAUACAAAUUAAGGAAACCGUUCAGUGUUGAUUCAUUUUCAAUCAAAGAAAACACAGAAGUGAUCCCACUGGUGUAGCAACUAAAAGUUCAGUUUGUUAAAGUCAACAGAGGUGUAAAUUGAGUAGUUUAACAAAAACCUAGUGUAAAUAAGUCAGUGUAUAGUGCACAUACGUGUACUGUGUUUCAAGUAUACGACUUGAAGAUAAUCUUGUUAAUUCAAGUUCAGUGUAACACCGUUGCCAUUAACGGAAGUGUAAUAAGGUUUUUGUAAACAAAAAGAAACUUAAGUAAUCAAGCUUGGAAACAGGAGUUCAAUCAAAGAUUUUUUUUUAUUAAUUUAAUUUCGUAGUCAUAGUCACAGAAGUAUACGUGUACAUUUUUAUCAAUAUAAUUGUGUAGUCCUUCAUUGAAUGUUUUUAAUAUUAAAGUUUUUUGUAAAUAAUUGUCACUGAAA